UUCACCCCGAGUGAAAAUCACUGGUGGAUGAGCACGGGUCCGCCUCCUGCAGGUGACGUCAUCAGUAUAUAGGACUAGGCUGAGGCAGGCUUGCAUGCAUGUGAGCUGAAGAAGAGACCAUUGUUAGAGGAGGAUACCGCUGGAUGUUACUGUCAGUCGGCUCUAACACCCACAAUGGGGAGGAAUACUCUGCAGUCCUGAUUUUAAACAGCUGUACAACUGAGGAAUGUACGUCAAAGAGGAAGAAAGAGGAGCGUUAAUAUUUCCUGCACGGACCAACGGAUGUUACGACGGUUAACGUGCCAUUGAAGUUGGACCUCGACGGGAUUAAAAGAAAGUUGCCUCUUCAAACUGCUACUUCAACGGAGGACAAAAAUGCAGUCUUGUGCAUGGAUGAAUGGACAGUACCACCAGGUUGGACCACCACCGUCACAAUCCUCACAGGCUCCUGCUCAGUUUACCCACAUCACAAUGAGGAAUCAGCAAGCUGGGUCUGCAGAUAACUCAUGCCAGUACAGGACAGCAAACACAGGAGUUCGACCGCCGCAAAGUGCUAAUUUCACCUAUGACAAUGGAGCUAACCCUAACAGACAGCCUUCAAAAUGGCCGAACUCAGCAGUUCCUCAUCAGGCAGUUUCUUCGCAGCAGCCAGCUGAACGGAACAGUUAUCAUCCGAGAGUAUUAAUUGGCAAUCUGCAACAGUCGUCUACUAAUACACAAAGUGGAAACCAUAGUUUGCCGGUCACUUCUGUAUUUCAGCAAGAUUUUCAUCAGAGCCCUGCUCAGAAUUCAUUGACCCAGAGUCCACCCAACACCAUGAAAGUAAACACUACACAACCUCAGCAAAACAUGUCAGCACAUUGGAACCAAAUGGUCAGAGUUCAUGGGAAACAGUCAGUAAGGGCACAGGAGGGCAAUGUUGUGUCUGAUCUUCAGCGUUAUGGGAAUCCAAAUAGCUUGUUUCACAUCGUCAAUGGAGAGUCAACUAAAUCCUUUCCAGCAUACACUACAACAGUGAUCUCGCCUCCACAGCAAGACGUGAUAUACAGCGGCAUAUUAGUGCCUGCUGCUGCACACAACAGACAGACCGCUAUUAAAGACAGUCACAAACAAAACGGCACUCAACACAGCUUCUCUCCCUCCAUUGACCCACCAGAUUAUAGUAUGGCUAUCUCUCAGUCUGUCAGAAACAGCAGCAUUACAACAAACUCAUCAUCAUGGGGACAGGUUGUGCAAGUUUCCAGCAUGAGUCAGAAACCUCAACAGUACUCAACACAUAACAAUAGGGGAGAGGCCAAAUCCUCCACAGACUCAAAUUUAUGUAGCAGGCAGUAUGAAAUUGCAAUGAUUGCCAGAAUUGCGGAUGAUCUACGUAAGUCAUUCCCUGCUGCCUCAGAUGUUCCUUCUCCAGUGUAUUCCAGGUCACCUUCUGGAGGGAAGCAGUUUGGCAGUGAGGUCAGAGUGACGGCAUCCAAUCAAAAUAUGCAACCUGUGACAUCAACUGUCACUCAAAGUUAUAACUCAAAUGCCUCCCAGUCCCUAUCACUUAAUUCUGGACAUUUUUUGCCUAAAAUGAUUCAUGGUGUUAUGUCAACAAAGCACAGUUUAGUUGUGCCACAGCAACAAAACUCUGUACCAAAUGUCUUUCAUGUCAUGCCAACAGGCGAUGGAAAAGGAAAUGGAAGUAAGACAGCCAACAGUUUUAUUAGAAAAAAUGUUGGAUCAUUAAGUGCUGCAUCUUAUCUGAAGCAGCUGUCUGAGAGCAUAUCAUCACAGCAAAAUGAGACCCAGUCAUCUGUAGCAAGCAAUCGUGAAAGGCUUGAAAUGCGUUCAUCAGUCAAGACAAAUGACACCUCCAGUCACUCAUCCCCUGGUCGCACAAGAGCUGUUGCUGUUGUGCAACCAUUGUCAUAUGAGAGCUUUCAGGUUGCCUGCAAGCAAACCUGUCCUAAGACAAUUAGUCAGUUGUCUGAGGGCACUGCAAUUGAUGAAUCAUUAAGUAACCCUGAGAAAUUCUUUAGUUCACCCAAAAACAGAUCUUACUCUUACACAAAUCAAAUGGCGUCCAACAAAUCUGCCAUCAAGCAUUCAGCAGCAUCCAAUGCUGGUACUUCUUUGUCAUCUUCAGAUUCAGCAGGGCUUCGAGACUUAUUGCAAAAACAGUCAUGUGAGGAUGACACAGGACCUGAACUGGCGAAUAGCAUGCAAGUAGACCAGGCUGUUGCAUCAUCUGCUCAACAAUUGGUAACAUCUGAGGCUCAAGCAACCCAAAGUGGUGAUAAGGACAACAGUGAGAUGCCAACAGAUCCAAAAGGGGUUUUUGAGCUUUCCUCACUCCCAACAACCCCAUGGACAGUUCUCACAUUAACUAAGUUGAUACAAGAUGCUGAAAAAAGUCAGAUGGAGAGAAAAGAUUUUCCCAAGUUUGACUGUUUACACAAAUUACUGGACAUGUUUUGGAAAGGCAGUACUAAGAACUUGAUAUCUGAGUUCAAGGCAGGCUGGAUGAAUGAAAUGGCUGAUGUUAAAAAAUUCUGCAACGAACAUGUAAAAUCUGACUCUGUUAUAUUGUCACAAGUAAAGCACUACUUUGGAAAGCAACUCAAGAACUUUCAUGUCCUCAGAGAGAAUGAAGUUUAUUCAGAACUGCCUUACAAAUCAACAUGGUUGAAUGCCAAUGACCAGCUUGAUGACAUUGACAAAGAGUUUGGCUUUCCGUGGUCUUUGAAGCAUCAACUUCUCAUGCCUGAGAGUGACAGCCAUCCCUAAGAAGUCCAGAUAGACAAUGGCAUUUCUGCACAAAUAGUAAGUGAGAUGUCAAACAAGAUAGAGCUUGAACCAGUUGGUUCAAGGGAAGAAAAACAAGAAUCAACUGUUGGAACCGCUUCAACACAAACUGCCUCUCCUAAGAGAAUGGAGAGUGCUGAUUCCAUUGACCCAUAUUGCAAUAUUGAAAUCCAAGUUUUGCCUUCAGAAGAGGCCAGGGCUAUUUUUGAGCAAGCACAAAGCCAGCUGUCACGAAGUACAGACACGGAUAAUCAGCCAGCAAGAGUGAGGAGUAGCUCUGUGCUGGAUGAGCCACCUAAGGUUAUGGAUGCCGCAUUGAGUGACACAAAACUGGAGAAAGAGCCAGUCUGUCCAAUAAAAGAGAUUUGCUGCAUUGGAAGGUAUAUUGAGCUAAUUUGGGGACCAAACACAGCCUCUUCGAGUAAAUGCCGGUGCAAGUACGAGCAAAGUCAUGAAGAUAUUACUGACAGGGUCCUUGAUAAGGAAGAAAUGGCAGAACAAAAGAAAAAUAUUGUGAUCAGUUCCGCCAAAGGAGAGAGUCAAGCAAAGGCUGGGGAGAAUGUCGGCAGUCACGUUAUGACACUUUACUGGCCUGAGUUACGGAAUGAACAAGGUCACACCACUGACUUAACUGAAGAUGAACACAAACCUCACCCUUAUUCAGACAAAGAACAAAAGAACAUUUCCCAGGUAAAAAUAAAUAGCUGGUCAAGCAUUAUACUCAUAGAUGAAAGCGAAGAUGAUCUGUCCAGCAGUGAAAAUGAAGUUUCCAACAAGAUGAAAGACUUUGAAAAUGAUUCUGAACAAGCUCAGGUGAAAUUGACCAAAAGUAACCAGUCAAGCGGUUCAAACAAGAAAGAAACCAAAGAAUUCUCCAGAAGUGACACGGAAAUUCAGUCAGACCUUGGGGUGGAUUGUGUCAGAGGUCAGUUAAAAUCUACAGGAAGUAUGCAGUCAUGUACUUCGAACAGUAGUAACCAAGAUAUUGAAGAUCUCUGCAGCAGUGAAAGUGAAAUUGCCAGCCAGAUGUCAGACCUCGAAGAGAAUUGUGGACGAGCUCAGCUGACAGCGACAAAUGUGGCAGAGUCAUCAUUGGAAACUGGAGAACAAACUGACAUGAGUGCGACAGGCACUGUCCAGACAACUUGGAGUAGUAAACAUGCAACCGUUGAAAGAAAGAAGAGACCAAGCAGUCAUGAUCAUUUUUUUCCAGUCUUUAACAAAUCAAAGAAAUGCAAAUCCCUUGCUGAUUUGGAUUCUCAGCCUGUCUUUGAGGGUGCCUCAAAAUGUGGAAGGGCUUUUGUUGAUGAGGUUGAUAAUGAACUUUCAGCCUCGAAUGUUCAAACUGCAGAGCUUGUACUGUUUGGCUCAACACCACAAGACAGGUGUGUUUCAGUUGGCUGCAGAAAGAGCAAUUGUUCAUAUCCAAUGCCUAAGUCUGAUGCAGUGCCAAGGCCUCCAAAAGUUAUUAAGGUGAAAUUCAGUCCAUUGAGGAGAAAGUCAGCAGAGGAAUAUUCAGUCAAACAACAGCUAUACGAAAAAUUUAGAAGUUUUCCACCAAGUAAAACUAGGCACAGAAGCAAACUGAAAAAACAGAAGUGUACUUUUUCCUCUUCAUCUGUGGCGAGUCUGAGGAAAGCUGAAAUGGUGCGCUCCAUCAACACUGAGGAGCUGCCAGUUUCCUAUAAAAUGAGAAAAUGCCUGAGUCUGAAGUGGAGGAGGUUCCUCUCUAACAAACUCAAAAGGGAGAAGGAGAAGAGGAAAUACUCUGUCACGCUCAACCAGCUUGCUGACCAAGAGAGGAGUAAGGGUGAAAAUGGAAGCCAUGCUGUUACACCUGUCAAGAACAACAUUGUCCUGAAGUUCACUGUCUUACCCGACACCUUCAACUUCAAAGAUGGAUCCAGUGGAAAAGAGGAAUUCAGUGAUCCUGUUCCAGAUAAGCCUGACCUUGUUGAAGAGAUGGACAGGAGCCACAAUACAGCUGUCACGAAGGCUACAGGUAAAUGGCUUCCAAAUCCUGAGAAGAAGCACAGUCCGUUGGUCAAGACCUACAGCAUCUUCACUGAGUAUCAGAAGAAAUUCAUGGAGAGGAGGCAGACAUCCACGGAUUAAUAACAUGUCACACUGAAGUUUUGUUGGCAACAGACAGAUAUUGUCUUUUGUCUGGGACUUUCUUGUUCUUAUAAAAGUAUGCCUUUGUGUUUUUAUAUUGUACAUUCAUUGAGUAAAUUGAAGUUGUCCAAGUGUUGUACAUAUUUUUACUCUUAACAGUCUGUCAAAUAAGUUUUUGCUGUACACAGAUAGUGUUCUCAUCAAUUUGCACACAGAAUCUUCAGUACAUGGCUGUAAAAGCUUACAAUGUCAUCCACGUUAGUUAUAGCUCCUUGUUACAUUUUAUGCAAAAAUGCAACUUUUUGACAGAAUGUAUAUUUCAGCUACAUAUUUAUAUUUUUGUAUUUUUCUACAUUAAGUAUAUUUUUCUACAUUAUUUGCAUCUUAAACCUAUAUUUUCAUAAGAAACAAGAAAUGUGAUCUCAUGAUUCCUGCACUGUUAAUGUGAAACAAGUUGCCAUUCUUUUUUAAUUUUACUGUUUUUACUGUUUUUACCUGAAAUAAAUUCACUACUGAGCAAAA